rnacentral:rRNA from 1 species
GACGAACCGUGCGAACGUUGUUCGGAAUCACUGGGCUUAAAGGGCGCGUAGGCGGUUCAUCAAGUCCGGGGUGAAAUCUUUCGGCUCAACCGGAAAAGUGCCUUGGAUACUGGUGAACUGGAGGGAGGUAGGGGCAGAUGGAACUUCCGGUGGAGCGGUGAAAUGCGUUGAUAUCGGAAGGAACGCCGGUGGCGAAAGCGAUCUGCUGGCCCUCUUCUGACGCUGAGGCGCGAAAGCUAGGGGAGCAAACGGG